GCCGCUGUGGCGGAAUUGGCAUACGCGUGCGACUCAAAAUCGCAUUCUCGCAAGGGAUUGUGGGUUCAACUCCCACCAGCGGCA
rnacentral:tRNA from 1 species